UGCUUGCUUUGGCAGCACACAAUCUAAAUCAGAACUACACAGAGAAGAUUAGCAUGGACCCUGUGCAAAAAUGGCAUACAAAUUCAUGAAGCAGUCCAUUUUUUU